rnacentral:rRNA from 1 species
GACAGAGGGGGCAAGCGUUGCUCGGAAUCACUGGGCGUAAAGGGCGCGUAGGCGGGAUGGCAAGUCGGUCGUGAAAUCCUUCGGCUCAACCGAAGAACGUCGGCCGAUACUGCCGUUCUUGAGGGAUGCAGAGGAGAUUGGAAUUCCCGGUGUAGCGGUGAAAUGUGUAGAGAUCGGGAGGAACACCGGUGGCGAAGGCGGGUCGCUGGGCAUCUCCUGACGCUGAGGCGCGAAAGCGUGGGGAGCGAACGAGG